rnacentral:rRNA from 1 species
UACCAGACUCCUACGGGAGGCAGCAGUGGGGAAUAUUGCACAAUGGGGGGAACCCUGAUGCAGCGACGCCGCGUGGGUGAGGGAGUAUUUCGGUAUGUAAAGCCCUAUCAGCAGGGAAGAACAAUGACGGUACCUGACUAAGAAGCACCGGCUAAAUACGUGCCAGCAGCCGCGGUAAUACGUAUGGUGCAAGCGUUAUCCGGAUUUACUGGGUGUAAAGGGAGCGCAGGCGGCGCGUUAAGCCUGGUGUGAAAGCCCGCGGCCCAACCGCGGGACUGCAUUGGGAACUGGCGCGCUGGAGUGCCGGAAGGGUAGGCGGAAUUCCUAGUGUAGCGGUGAAAUGCGUAGAUAUUAGGAGGAACACCAGUGGCGAAGGCGGCCUGCUGGGCUUUAACUGACGCUGAGGCUCGAAAGCGUGGGGAGCAAACAGGAUUAGAUACCCCAGUAAAC